GUGUUCACUUUGGUAGCACAUAUACUAAAGUUGGAAUGAUACAGAGAAGAUUAGCAUAGCCCUGCUCAAGGAUGACACACACAUUCAUGAAGUGUUUCAUAAAAUA